CUGACCUGCAAGUGUGUACCAGGACAUAGUGUGUUAGAAAGUGUGAACUGACACCCAAGUUGCAGAUUUGCAAAUUUCAGUGUCUGGCAUGUUUUUCAACAGCACCUUGGAGGUAGAUUGAGAUAUGGUAGAGUGGGCAGUUACUCCAGAAGUAGGCUGAACAUUAGCAGUCUUGUAACAACUUAGAAUACACCCGGAACCCCAUUUUGAAAGUUUUGCAAGGAAAUUGAAGAUCCUUUCGAUCUGUCCAUGGAGGAAAACAUAAAAUCUCAUUUUCUAAAUGGUCUCCUUCUAUCUGGAUUGAAGACUAGCAUUCUUCUCACACCCAAAGCAUGAAGAGCAGAUUAUUCCCUGGAUUGGUGUGGGUUAGGGGAAAACAGCAGGAAAAUGUAUGACCCAGUUAAUGUAGAAAUCAGAUGAUAUUUUACAUAGAAAUUUGUGAUGUGGUUGUAACAAUACCUUUUUCUUUAAAAAGUCUGUAAAGAGGAGAUCUGCCAUUAACACCUCUAAUUCUCCAACCAUUUUGGCAGAAGUGAUGGCCAUCAAGAAUGCCAUUUUCAUAGGUGAAUGGAAGGCUGAGAUUGCUGCCAGAUGAACUUCGACAAUUUAUAAAGGUCUUGUCCUCUUAAUUACAACAGGCAAUCAAGAACAGGAAACCUCUAUCUCCAACAAACAUUGAGGAGCAAAGCUCUGAACUGAAGAAAGCCCAGGUUGGGAUGGAGAAUCUGGCCAGACUACAGGAUAACAGAUGGCAAGCAGCUGGGAAUAAUAAUGGCAAGAGCAAAGCAUGACGAAUCAGGUAAGGAUACCAUACUUGUCUUGGCCAAGUUGGUGCAUUUAGAAAGACUGCAGUUUUAUCCUGCUUGAUCUUGUUCAAUACCUUCAAGAGCAGUGUCAUCAGAAGACAUGCAUAGAGGUGGCCAAGAAGUGAGAAUGAUAUUGAUGACCCAAAGCCCUUCUAGAGCAGAAUUUCCUGCACUUUCUGCUAACAGCUAUUACAAAGAAGUCCACGUCUGGGAACUUCCAGGUUAGGAAACUAUGCUGGAGAGUCCAAGAUUGGAGUUCCCACUUGGAAUCCAAACAUGCAGGCAACACUCUCUAUCAUGACUUCAACAGAUUCUUUCUUGAUGAAGGAAAGAAACUGUAUGCAGAUACUGCUCACUGCUCUUACUUCCAGAAGGUUGAUGUGGAGGAGAGAUUUUUGGGCAAACCAUUUGCCCUGAGUAGUGUGUAUGCCUAGAUAUGCUCUCCCCCCGAAAGGAUACAUCUGAAGUUAUGGUGACAGCAGGAGGAACUGGGUGAAGGGGAGUUCUGUACAUACUCUGGAGGGGUCCUUCCACCAAUUGAGCAACUCCAAUACUCAAAGAUGAAUAGAUGCCAUUGUGAUGGUUCUCAGGGUAUCCUGAGAGUCACCUUGUUACCCACUGCCCGCCACCCACAUCAUGAGGGAGAUUUGCUUGUGCUUAAUUGGGUUUCAGCUCCCUGACACCACCAACCUGUGAGCCACCCAAGCAUUCUCCUAUGGGCAACACUAGCCCUUGCUUUGCUUUGCAGGUGAACAAUAGGUGCACCCCAGUCCCCAAGUCCCUUUGAAGUGUUCCCCUGUGAUAGCCUGCCUCUGAUAUUGACUACCCAUAGAAUUAACAAGUUAGCUGUCCCCAAGGGACUAGAGUACACACUAGAUUGUAUGAUUCAACUCAGGAUCAGCAUCUUGCUUAACAUCACAGCACUUACAUAUAGUGAAAAGGAUAAGAUGAUUACCAAAAAUUCAAGACAUAGUGAGUCAGGAUGAUGGAAACAAAAAGUUAAUCAUAACAUGCUUUCUAGAGCUGAAACUUAACUAUUAGGUUAAUCUCCUGUCUUAUAAAGUUUCUCCCAAAGCCUUUUGCAGCAUCUUCAGCCAAGGCUGGUUGUGAUUGCCCAUUUUCUUCCUAGGCCCAGGAUAAAGUGAUGUUUUCUUUGCCUUCUAUUUAUAUCCUCAAAGGUAUCUGUCAGUUCUUAAAGUCAGGAUAACCACCCAUGGCUUAUUUUUUCCUGUCUACUGCUUUCCUGUUGAUUUCACAUCUCUUUGACUUCAUGUGUAAAUGGAUAUCCAUUGUGUUAGCUUACAAUGCUUAAUUUACUUCUCCCCAGGGAGACAGGUGAAUAAACACCUCAUAUGAUAGAAAACCAUGGAUUUUGUGAACCAUGUCUUGAUACAGACUUUAAAAACACAUUUUCAGCGUAUAUACACAUAACUACUUACAUAGUACCUGCACCUACAUUUCAUAACGUUAUUAAGGAUCAGUGCAACCCCAGCUUUCUCUUCAGACCUCACAUGACGUUCCCUGGUAAACCAGAGUGCACAUACCAGAAUCAAGAUAGUCUUGUAGCCCCCCUUCCCAGCUGGCAUUAAGGAUUCUUGGGUUAAAGACAUCUUGUCUAAACUGUUUGUAUGGCCUCUCUCAGCUUGUAUGGCAACUUCCAACUUAUUUGUGUGUAUUAUAAAUCUUCUUACUGUAUGUUCCAUUCAUCUGAUGAAGUGGGCUGAAGCCCACGAAAGCUUAUGCUCUAAUAAAUUUGUUAGUCUCUAAGGUG